rnacentral:rRNA from 1 species
UACGUAGGGUGCGAGCGUUGUCCGGAAUUAUUGGGCGUAAAGAGCUCGUAGGCGGUCUGUCGCGUCGAUCGUGAAAACUUGGGGCUUAACCCUGAGCUUGCGGUCGAUACGGGCAUGACUGGAGUUCGGCAGGGGAGACUGGAAUUCCUGGUGUAGCGGUGAAAUGCGCAGAUAUCAGGAAGAACACCGGUGGCGAAAGCGCUCUGCUAGGCCGCAACUGACACUGAGGGACGAAAGCUAGGGGAGCGAAUGGG